GCCAGUGUGGUAUAGUGGUUUGAAUGCUGGGCUAUGAGUCUGGGGACCAGGGUUUGAUUCCCAGCUCAGCCA
rnacentral:tRNA from 1 species